CAACCCUUGACAUCCUAGGACAACUCCAGAGAUGGAGCCUUCCUUCGGGACCUAGUGACAGGUGCUGCAUGGCUGUCGUCAGCUCGUGUCGUGAGAUGUUCGGUUAAGUCCGGCAACGAGCGCAACCCACGUCUUUAGUUGCCAGCAGUUCGGCUGGGCACUCUAAAGAAACUGCCCGUGAUAAGCGGGAGGAAGGUGUGGAUGACGUCAAGUCCUCAUGGCCCUUACGGGUUGGGCUACACACGUGCUACAAUGGCAAGUACAGAGGGCCGCAAAGCCGCGAGGUGGAGCUAAUCUCACAAAGCUUGUCGUAGUCCGGAUUGGAGUCUGCAACUCGACUCCAUGAAGUCGGAAUCGCUAGUAAUCGUGAAUCAGAAUGUCACGGUGAAUACGUUCCC
rnacentral:rRNA from 1 species